rnacentral:rRNA from 1 species
UACGUAGGGGGCAAGCGUUGUCCGGAAUGAUUGGGCGUAAAGAGCGUGUAGGCGGCCAGAUAAGUCCGCUGUGAAAUCUCGAGGCUCAACUUCGAGCUGUCGGUGGAAACUAUCUGGCUAGAGUCCGGAAGAGGAGAAUGGAAUUCCUGGUGUAGCGGUGAAAUGCGCAGAUAUCAGGAAGAACACCCGUGGCGAAGGCGGUUCUCUGGGACGGUACUGACGCUGAGACGCGAAAGCGUGGGGAGCGAACAGG